CGGACGGGUGAGUAAUGUCUGGGAAACUGCCUGAUGGAGGGGGAUAACUACUGGAAACGGUAGCUAAUACCGCAUAACGUCGCAAGACCAAAGAGGGGGGCCUUAGGGCCUCUUGCCAUCGGAUGUGCCCAGAUGGGAUUAGCUAGUAGGUGGGGUAACGGCUCACCUAGGCGACGAUCCCUAGCUGGUCUGAGAGGAUGACCAGCCACACUGGGACUGAGACACGGCCCAG
rnacentral:rRNA from 1 species